UACGGGGGGAGCAAGCGUUGUCCGGAUUUACUGGGCGUAAAGGGCGCGUAGGCGGCCAGCACAAGUCAGUUGUGAAAUCUCCGGGCUUAACUCGGAAAGGUCAACUGAUACUGUGCGGCUAGAGUGCGGAAGGGGCAACUGGAAUUCUUGGUGUAGCGGUGAAAUGCGUAGAUAUCAAGAGGAACACCUGCGGCGAAGGCGGGUUGCUGGGCCGACACUGACGCUGAGGCGCGAAAGCCAGGGGAGCGAACGGG
rnacentral:rRNA from 1 species